GUAUAUAUAUAUAUCGUUGAAAGCACCGGUUCUCGUCCGAUCACCAAAGUUAACCAACAUCGAGCUUAGUUAGUACUUAGAUGAGUGACCGCUUGGGAAACCUAGGUGCUGUAAGCA
rnacentral:rRNA from 1 species